UGUGGUAAGCCCCCCACAUGGGCAGCGGGCCCACAUUUUGAUCAGGUGGUGAGUUUGGGGGCUGCAGGGUGGGUUGCAGGCUGUCCGCACCGGGUGGCUGUGGGAAAGCUGGCAUUGCCACAAGCUGGCAUUGCCCCAAUGAGGAUGUUCUUGCUUUUCCAGCAGCGACAACAAGCUCAGACAUCCUGGAGGACAUCAACAAACUCCUGACAUCGAUGAACAGCUGUGAGUCUGGGGGCUAUAGAGCUCAAAGGGGGGUGUUGGCACUGAGUGGCUGUGGGAAGGCUGGUGUUGACCCACUGGGGAUGUUCUUGCUUUUCCAGCAGCAACAGCCAAUACUGACAACCUGGAUGACAUCUUGGAUAUGGAUGAUCUGCUCGUGUGGCUCAACAGAGAAGUGGCGAGUCUUCAGGAGGUCCCCCAGCAGAACCAGGACCUGGACAGCCAGAGCAGGGCAGAGCUGCUGCAUUGUAUUAAUGCCACGCAGCCACCAAACCCAGCUGUCCCCAGCCCAACUGAGCUGCAUGCGCCGACAGCCCUGUGCAAUGGCAGCAUCCAGGCCACAAAGAGGAAGCUGCCUCAGGGCCAGGAUGCUCCAGACCCAAAGCACCGGCGCUAGGAGAAGCUGGAAACAGCCCAUGUGGUGCAGCAGGAGACACGGCCAGAGACAGCAGUUAAGGAUCCCUGUAGCCCUGGGCUCCUCGCCGGCUCCUGCAGCAGCAGCGCUCCAGGGGCUCCAACAUCAGCCCCAGCCCUACACCUCCAAACCUGGGCUGUCCACCAACAACACCUUGGACUUUGACUCUAUUAGAUUGUUAUUUUAUGGUACUUUAUGUUGGUUUAUAUUAUGUUAUUUUAUGUUAAAUUCUUUUAUGUUAAACUCUGUUACUUUCUGUUAAAUUACAUUAAAUUAAUUUAAACUAUUAAAUGCUUCGUACCAUGAGAGCUUUCCAUCAUACACUGCAAUCCAUAUCACUGCGGAACGGCACAACUGGUGCCAGGGGAUGGUGCAGGGAUGGGGCACAUGUAAGGAAAUGAUGUUUUAAUUUAUUUCUUUGAUAACUGCAACAGAAACCCUGACAGUCACAGCUGAUUGCAGAAGCUGUUGUCCCAGGAGCGUGAUGCGGUCACCAACUUCAGGGAGGGAAGGCCGUAACCAUCCCCUAUAGGAUGGAGGUGGGGGUGGUGGUGGAGGUGGCGGUCGGCGGGGUCUUUCUGGUGGGUAGAUGGGGCUGGGGGGACGCGGGGGGCGGGGGGGACAUCCGGACAGGACGUCCUGGCAGUUGAGCCCAGUGGUGAAGUCCAACAUCAGCAGAGCAGUGGUGGUGCCACUGCAACCCGUCCCUGUCCCCACUGUCAUCUUCGUGGGACCUCAGGCCUCUGCCCAGCCAUGGGUACGAGGUGUGCAGAGACAGGGAGCGCAGCUGCCACCUGGGGGGCAGCCCCAAACUGUGGUCCAGUUGCCAGCUGGGGGGCUGCCACAAAAGUGUGCUCCAGCAGCCACCUGGGGGCUGCCCCUAAAUGUGACCCCAGCUGCCACCUGUGGGGCUACCCCAAAUGUGAUCACAGAAUCACAGAAUCACGGAAUUGUAGGGGUUGGAAGGGACCUCUAGAGAUCAUCGGGAGUCCAACCCCCUGCCAAAGCAGGCUCCCUACACCAUGUCACACAGGAAGGCGUCCAGGCAGGUCUUAAAUAUCUCCAGAGAAGGAGACUCCACCACCUCCCUGGGCAGCCUGUUCCAUGCUCCGUCACCCUCACUGUAAAGAAGUUCUUCCACACAUUUGUGCGGAACUUCCUAUGCUGUAACUUUCAUCCCAUUACCCCUAGCCCUGUCCCCAUGCACUACUGAAAAGAGACCAGACUCACCACUAUGGCUCCACACCUCAGGUAUUUAUAAC
rnacentral:lncRNA from 1 species